UAAAUUGAGAGUUUGAUCCUGGCUCAGGACGAACGCUGGCGGCGUGCCUAACACAUGCAAGUCGAGCGGGAGACUUUGGUCUCUAGCGGCGGACGGGUGAGUAACACGUGGGUAACCUGCCUUAGUGAGGGGGAUAGCCUCCCGAAAGGGAGAUUAAUACCGCAUAACAUUGCGAUAUCGCAUGAUAUUGUAA
rnacentral:rRNA from 1 species